CGGUACGUCCGCAGGAGGGGCUCUAUAUAAGCCAGUAGCAGCGACCACCAUUGCUUUCAGAGCCGAGGUGGAGGCAGGGUCUCUCGCUCACCUCUCUCCCGCAACGAAGACAAGGCGUUGGCGACGGCAAGCCCCCAUGUCCUCGCCACGUCAUGCUUACUAUAGACGCUAAUACCUUAAAGAAAGCUGCAGUUUACACCGUGCAAGCCCUGAUCAGCUAUGAUAUUGAAGUCAUCUAGGCUAUAGAGUUGAAUAUGCAUCCUUCAUGUCACGUCGACAUGACGUGUCAAUAAAACUGGUUAUUGGACAUCAAGUGGACUAAUGUUACUGUCUCGGCACGUAAAUACAGCAGUGAUCUGUCUGUGUGAAGGUAGAAAAGCGAGCACGCCUGUAGAGUGUGGCAAACGUCACGGCCACUGUGAAGAUAUAGACUGCAUACUCCAUCUGUCAUCCACCGACGAUUUUAUACUUUGUUUCUUUCAAACAACUCACAUUCGUUCCUGACCCAAGCAGGCAUUUAUUCACCUUGUGGUUAUACUUAUAUUUAUUUAGGGAUCGAACAUUGUUCUGAGUUAAUGUUCGUACCGCUAAAUAACAGCUGGUUCUCGGACAGAAACCUGUUGGUUUAAUCGCACGUGCAGCUUGUCACCCCAGUAGCCACAUGGCAGUAAACCAGACCCACCAACAACAGUCCUGCUUAUAUCACGUGUCAACAUUGAUUACAUGCGCAGCGCAUGUGAACGCAUGACGACUCUCCUCAACAACCUUGACCCCUAUAAUGGCAGCUGGUCAUACAUUAAAGAUUAAUAAUCAAAUAUCCGAACUGACUGAAUUAAUUUUGGACGAGUUAAAACCUGUUGCUAUAUCACGACCUGUAUAUCAACUUUGUCUUUUUGUCUUAUUUUCCGCGAACUUUCUUUGAGGAUGGAGGACGAAAGACUCACAUUUUGUCCCAGAAAUAAAGUUGUCCCAUUUAAAAUCUGAAUUUCAGGAUCCGAGGCAAUCUAGUUUUGAGAUGGAUUUAUUUGUCAGUUUAUUGUCCAGGUUCUUGGAAACUGAUAAUGACUGAGGGUCUAUUGACCCCAUCGCGAAUCCGAACCUAAACAUAAAUAGCACGCUCUCUUCGGGGUUCAUAAAAAUGAAAGUCACACAGUUAAUGUCAGCCAAGGCUUGCAUGGCUUUUGUCUUGUAUGACAUAACUAGUUAGUAUUCGUGAACCUGCAUAUAAUAUUAAAUCUGGCUCAUACGUGUACCACACAACUCUCUGGAUUUAAUUAAUUUGUUGAUUUUCUUUGUCUACUCAACGGUAUCGGGCCAUGAUUUGAUAUAUAUCUCGUAACAUAUAAUGUCUAGCUUUGAUUGUGCACACUGCAUAACGUGUUCCACCUGGCCACUGCAGAAGUCCACUUGAUGAUCAAGCAUGCUUUGCAGUUAAGUGUGUAAGAUGGCACCCAGUAUCUAAACUAUUAGUCCAUGUAAUUAAUAUAUGGUAUCUUUCCGCAACGUAAACUUUAGUAGAUGAAUGAAGAUUGUCUUGAAAGGACAUUUGUUGCCCAACUCCUGAGGUUUUUGGACCCAAGUCAUGUAGGCCGCGUGUCAGCAUUAUCUAUUUAUACAUCGCGCUAGUUACGUAUUGGCAUAGCUGUAACCCAAACAGUUGUUGAUCCCAAAACAUAGUUAAUAAGGAGGACAGUGAUUAGUGGGUUUUCGUAUUAUUAUCCCUCCAAUAUGUAUAUAAAAUAAAGAAGAUAAAAGGGAAGAAAUCAAAGAAACCUAUUCACAGAAAUCGUUAUACAAGUUGUCAAUGGAGAAUUUCAAUUUCAAAUUUCUAGCUUAAGUACGACCAAUUGGAUACAAUAAUAUGAAAACAAAUAUGUAUUUUACAGGUGUUAUCGAAAAUAUGGUUAUUUAUGUUGAGUUAAAAAAAGUUGUAGCAUGUAACUCAAAACAAUCCCUUGCCACAGAUAUUACAUGUGUUUAAAGGAAUUGUAAACUUAUUUCUCUCCAAAUAAUCCAAAUUUGAAGUGACAGAUGUGACAUAAUGUGAUGUAGAAAGAAUACUAACACAUGCCUGUUGCUCGAACCCAAACUAUAUCAGUUUCAAACCCAUAGUCAAACAGAAAAUUACAGUAUUAAACGAUAAUUGUGUUUAAUGAAGUUGAUACAUGGACAUGCAAUGUUAAAUACGCAUGUGUACAUGUAAGCAAGUGCAUGGUAAAACUACAACUUCGUCUUCCUCCUAUACCAUCAUGUCCUUCUUCUUGUAUCUGUUAGAAUACUUAACAAAGGACAUCUUUGUCUCCACUAAAGACCAAAUGAGGAAAGUGUCGAAGUGAAAAAUGAUGUGCUCCUGAACAAGAAGGCAUUAUAGGAUGCUUCAAUGACAUUGAUGUAUUUGAAAUGUGUGUCAUCAUUUACUGACUAUUCAAUGGUAUUUACUCCUUGUUCUUCGUUUGAAAGCCAAUAUUGCCAGUCAUCUUGACGAUGUAAAUCUAUUGAAUGUGUUUUCCUCAUGGUAUCAACAUCUCUACUGUUAUCUUGCAUAAGUAACUUGAAUUAUGAAACAUAAGCUGAGGUUUGAUUGGUGUUGAUGAAAAGUGUCCAUAGGCGUCACUUUGAUAUAAUAUAUUGAUCUGAUAUAUCAGAGAUGCAUCACUUCCUGGCAAGUUCAAAUACAGGAAGUAGAUUUUUUAAGAAACAAAUCGGACUACAAAACCAAGUUUGAAUAUAUUACGUCAACCACUUCAUGUCCUUACAUCUGUUAGAAUACUGAACAACGGACACGUUUCUCUCCACUAAAGACCAAAUGAGGAAAGUGUCCAAGUGAAAAAGAAUGUGCUAAUGAACAAGAAGGCUGUCUCACGCUUCAAUGAAAUUGAUGUAUUUGAAAAUAUUCUUUCAACCACUUCAAAACCGACAAAUAUUAAUCAUGUACGACUAGAGGUGUGGGCAUGCAACUAAAAAUGCUGAAACAAGUAACAAUGUAUUUUCAACUGGUACAAACCGAAAAUAUAUGAAAACCGCGUAUCGAUACGACGAGCAUCACUGCCUGCUAUGCACCAAUGCAUGAAGCUGGUAUUAUAUAUACAUCCGACCGCAAAAUCAAGUUUGAAUCUAUUCUUCCUUUCAACCACUUCAAAACCGACAAAUAUUAAUCAGAAGUGUAGUCAUGCGACUGAAAAUGCUGAAACAAGUCACAAUGUAUUUUCAAGUGGUACACACCGAAAAUAUAUGAAAACCUUGUAUUGAUACUCCCAAUGUAUAAUGUUUGUCUGUGCACGCUUUGUAGUCAGCAAUCACACCCACAAAACGUACAAUAUCCGCUUUACGCUCAUUAAUAACGCCUGUAUAUGUCGAGUCUGUGCCUUGGUAUAUUGGGGCUUUUUGUUUUGUCUGAUAGGGGUUGGAAAGGGAAUGCGGAUCAUUAACAUGUACAUGCUGGAUCGUCAUUUUAGGAAUAGAGGAGAAAUGUCUGUUUGCAUUGGGGAUGGUUGUCAAUAUGGAAUAUUGAGAGUUGUGUGAUGUUGAUGGACAUACAUCCUAAGAAAAACACUUUUAUAAAAGAAACUAACAACCCAGCUCAUCCCAUAUGUAGACACAGUAUUAAUCUUAUCUCUGGUGGCUCACAUAACAGCCAUGAAAACGAGUUCGUUUGAUACUCUAGCAUUUGUGUUGAUUUUGUGGGGAAGUCUAUGGCAUAAAAGAAUGUUAUUCAGACCUGAUAUCUUGCUCUGCUAUAUUCAAAGAAUUGCAGCAUGUUACUCCAAAUGAUCUCUCGUCUGAUCUUUGAACAGACAUAUAUUACAAAUGUGUUUAGCGGAGUUGCAGAUGUAUUUCUCUCCAAAUGAUCCCAAUUUGAAGUGACAAAUGGGUCGUAAUGUGAUGUAGAAAGAAUACUACACGUGCUUGUUACUCGAACCCAAAUUACAGUUUUCAAAGUGAUAGUCAAAUAUGAUUCUACUGUAUGAAACGAUAGUUUUGUUUAAUGCAGUUGUUACAUGGAUAUGCAAUGCAUUUGUCUUUUUUCAUCACUAAGUACUCAUGUAUACAUGUAAUCAAGUGCAUGAUAAAACUACCCUCUUCUCUUAGACCUUCAUGUCCUUCUUGUUAGAUCUUCUAAUACACUUAAAAGAAGACAUCUUAGUCUCCACUAAACACCAAA